rnacentral:rRNA from 1 species
CCUACGGGUGGCAGCAGUGGGGAAUAUUGGACAAUGGGCGAAAGCCUGAUCCAGCCAUGCCGCAUGUGUGAAGAAGGCCUUCGGGUUGUAAAGCACUUUCAGUGGGGAAGAAAGCCUUGGGGCUAAUACCCUCGAGGAAGGACAUCACCCACAGAAGAAGCACCGGCUAACUCCGUGCCAGCAGCCGCGGUAAUACGGAGGGUGCGAGCGUUAAUCGGAAUUACUGGGCGUAAAGCGCGCGUAGGCGGUCUGAUAAGCCGGUUGUGAAAGCCCCGGGCUCAACCUGGGAACGGCAUCCGGAACUGUCAGGCUAGAGUGCAGGAGAGGAAGGUAGAAUUCCCGGUGUAGCGGUGAAAUGCGUAGAGAUCGGGAGGAAUACCAGUGGCGAAGGCGGCCUUCUGGACUGACACUGACGCUGAGGUGCGAAAGCGUGGGUAGCAAACAGGAUUAGAUACCCCAGUAGUC